rnacentral:rRNA from 1 species
AAAUGAAUAGACGGGGGCCCGCACAAGCAGUGGAGUAUGUGGUUUAAUUCGACGCAACGCGAAGAACCUUACCAAGGCUUGACAUAUACAGGAAUAUUAUAGAAAUAUAAUAGCUCUUCGGAGUCUGUAUACAGGUGGUGCAUGGUUGUCGUCAGCUCGUGUCGUGAGAUGUUAGGUUAAGUCCUGCAACGAGCGCAACCCCUAUUUCCAGUUGCCAGCACGUAAUGGUGGGAACUCUGGAGAGACUGCCGGUAAUAAAUCGGAGGAAGGUGGGGAUGAUGUCAAAUCAUCAUGCCCUUUAUGUCUUGGGCAACACACGUACUACAAUGGCCGUUACAAAGAGAAGCAACACAGUGAUGUGAAGCAAAACUUAAAAAAGCGGUCUCAGUUCGGACUGAAGGCUGAAAUUCGCCUUCACGAAGUCGGAAUUGCUAGUAAUGGCAGGUCAGCAUACUGCCGUGAAUACGUUCCCGGGCCUUGUACACACCGCCCGU